AUUGAACGCUGGCGGCAGGCCUAACACAUGCAAGUCGAGCGGAUGAGAAGAGCUUGCUCUUCGAUUCAGCGGCGGACGGGUGAGUAAUGCCUAGGAAUCUGCCUGGUAGUGGGGGACAACGUUUCGAAAGGAACGCUAAUACCGCAUACGUCCUACGGGAGAAAGCAGGGGACCUUCGGGCCUUGCGCUAUCAGAUGAGCCUAGGUCGGAUUAGCUAGUUGGUGAGGUAAUGGCUCACCAAGGCGACGAUCCGUAACUGGUCUGAGAGGAUGAUCAGUCACACUGGAACUGAGGCACGGUCCAGACUCCUACGGGAGGCAGCAGUGGGGAAUAUUGGACAAUGGGCGAAAGCCUGAUCCAGCCAUGCCGCGUGUGUGAAGAAGGUCUUCGGAUUGUAAAGCACUUUAAGUUGGGAGGAAGGGCAUUAACCUAAUACGUUAGUGUUUUGACGUUACCGACAGAAUAAGCACCGGCUAACUCUGUGCCAGCAGCCGCGGUAAUACAGAGGGUGCAAGCGUUAAUCGGAAUUACUGGGCGUAAAGCGCGCGUAGGUGGUUUGUUAAGUUGGAUGUGAAAGCCCCGGGCUCAACCUGGGAACUGCAUCCAAAACUGGCAAGCUAGAGUACGGUAGAGGGUGGUGGAAUUUCCUGUGUAGCGGUGAAAUGCGUAGAUAUAGGAAGGAACACCAGUGGCGAAGGCGACCACCUGGACUGAUACUGACACUGAGGUGCGAAAGGGUGGGGAGCAAACAGGAUUAGAUACCCUGGUAGUCCACGCCGUAAACGAUGUCAACUAGCCGUUGGAAUCCUUGAGAUUUUAGUGGCGCAGCUAACGCAUUAAGUUGACCGCCUGGGGAGUACGGCCGCAAGGUUAAAACUCAAAUGAAUUGACGGGGGCCCGCACAAGCGGUGGAGCAUGUGGUUUAAUUCGAAGCAACGCGAAGAACCUUACCAGGCCUUGACAUGCAGAGAACUUUCCAGAGAUGGAUUGGUGCCUUCGGGAACUCUGACACAGGUGCUGCAUGGCUGUCGUCAGCUCGUGUCGUGAGAUGUUGGGUUAAGUCCCGUAACGAGCGCAACCCUUGUCCUUAGUUACCAGCACGUAAUGGUGGGCACUCUAAGGAGACUGCCGGUGACAAACCGGAGGAAGGUGGGGAUGACGUCAAGUCAUCAUGGCCCUUACGGCCUGGGCUACACACGUGCUACAAUGGUCGGUACAGAGGGUUGCCAAGCCGCGAGGUGGAGCUAAUCUCACAAAACCGAUCGUAGUCCGGAUCGCAGUCUGCAACUCGACUGCGUGAAGUCGGAAUCGCUAGUAAUCGCGAAUCAGAAUGUCGCGGUGAAUACGUUCCCGGGCCU
rnacentral:rRNA from 1 species